UCCUUGUGGUUUUUAUUUGUAUUUCCCUGAUGAUGAGCGAUGUUGAGUAUCUUUGCAUGUGUCUAUUGGCCAUCUGGAUGUCUUCUUCGGGAAAGUGUCUAUUCAUGUCU